UAUUGCUGGUGGCUCGGCCGUUGGCGGCGGACCGGACGCAUACGUGCCGGGGCGCCGAGGGCUGCGGCGUGACGGGCGCCCGGUUCUGCCUGCAGGUGCGCGCAGGUGCCGGCAGGUGUGCGGGGCGCGGCCCCCAGAGCGGCCGGCCGCGGAGCCUCGGGAGGAGGUGCUGUUGAUGUCCUGGUGCUGCCAGCUUGGGGAGUGAAGACCGGAAACAGGCGAUCCAGGGCCCCCCGGCACAGGGUGCUGAAAGAAGUGGCAAUUAGCGUGUCUGAGCCUCCUUGUUGGGCUGGUUACAACUAAGCCACGUGGGGUUUCCCAGGGACCAAAGCCGCAAACUCCACUUGUGUCUGGAGACGUCAUCGUGAGGAAUGUACGGCGGAGCCUCUGGCAUGCCUGAGGUUCACGUCGCUCUUGCCUGCAGCACCUGUGCGUGUAGGUGAGCUGCUCUUUUCACGAGGACCUGCGUGUCUGCCACAGUUCCUGUCUGACUGUCUGUGAAGCUGAGACCUGGUACACCGUCGUUCGGGCACUGGUGUGGGUCUGCGGGCACUGGGUCAACGCAGAGGUUACAAUCCUUGUUCCGAAGGUGGGUGUGUCAUCCGGAAUCACAGGAGACGUGCUCUCAAAUAUGACACCCGCUUAGGGCUGCAGCAGCACAAUCAUUGUGUCUCAUUAUAUACUGGUAAGAAAGAGGACUGAUUUUUA